UUGUGCUCGUGACGUACAGCGCGGAAGAAGAGCGAUAUAGAAAAUACACACACUCUACGAAGCGAGCCAUCAACGCAGUUUAGUGCAAAUGAAUUUAACUAACAUGACAUUCCAGUAAAAAAAAAAAAAAACACUAAAUGCAUGGACACCACGACGAAAACGCUGUUUUGCCGACAAAACGGUGAAAAGCAGUCAACGGCCAUAACCGACUUGGGGGUUUCUAAGAACGUCCCUUCCUAGUUUCUAUAUUUGGGAACGACUUCUAGGAAAAUAGAAACUGCCAGCUCCGUAUCCAGUUCCACGUGUUUAACUUCGCUCCCUUUUAAAGCGAAAGAAAAGCUUCGAGCAGCAGCGCGCCCGCACGUGCGCGGUUUUACAUACCGCCGCCCAUUGACGAUCAUUAAUAGACCGGAGAACGUCGGCGAGGAAUUUAGCGCACAAUUUGGCGCGUGUUGCUGGGAUCGGCAUCUCCCCCUGCGCGGCCCCUCACCUAGCAGCGUGACCGCGAAGCGACGCGCGAGCAGAGAGAUCUUAACAUGCACGGAGUCAGUCCGCUGCUCAUCUCACCAGCGGCGGCAGCACGUACGGCGCGCACUUAAAGAAACAACAUCUGACUCGCACCGGCCACAUGUUUCCUUCAACCCCGCGGCGCGUCUUUAUUCGCUCGAGCUUCCAGCAACCAGCUGCACUUCAUGGCCAUAGAUAAAGAAAACCCCAUGCGCAAGGAGUUAAUAAGUCAAACAAGUAAGAGCAUUGUCUACAAUUUCAAGAUGCUCUCGGAGGAAGUAAACAAGCAGAAAUGCAGACGUGAAAUUAAGAACCCUCUUCUUUACCCCCGUCCAUGUGACAGCAGAGGCAUAUGACUUCCAUAACUUCAUUGCUCAUUAACCGCUGAUGCUAGGACACAAUUGAGCGAGUGUUUGUGGAACUUACCCUAGAUAUUCAGAUCUCAGUCCUUGGCUCUGGCUGUUGGGCAGAUCUUCUCCUGUUUCAGAUAUCUUCACCCUGCCUGACAACAGACCGUGAGGACGCUCACAUGAGAGCCCCUUGUGAGGAGUGAACUAUGGGAUACAAAGACCGGUUAUGUCCAUUUAAAUCACUUAACAAACACCACAGCAAACAAAGACCGUGAUUUACCAUGGUGGCGUUAUUAAAUUACCUCUGCACAUGAGCCAACAAUUGAGUUAUUUUUAUAGACGUGUGCAGACAGUAUAAGCGCUGUCUUUUGUUCCUUAUUGACUUGGCCCACCAGAUUUUGUAUGUUCUUGAAUAGAGCUAGCACCGGUUAGACCAAAAAUACGCAUAGGAAAUAGUCAUAGCAAAGGUAUCCUUCAAAAACCAAAUACUCCCUUUUAGCUAGGUUGCGCACGAACGACUUUAGGCUAGUCAUUGUCUGGGCUUGACUGGGAUGGGAAAUGGUUUAAAAAGCCAAUGCGUUUAUAAAAUAUGUAAUUGAAAUGUUGAUUACAUUUGUUGUAUGUUUUAAAAUGACGCUGAUAACUAUCAAACAAUAAAGUGAAAACGAUUAAAAACC